UACAGAGGGUGCAAGCGUUGCUCGGAUUUACUGGGCGUAAAGCGUGCGCAGACGGCAAGGCAGGUCGGAUGUGAAAGCCCCAGGCUCAACCUGGGAAAUGCAUUCGAAACCAUCUCGCUAGAGUGUGGGAGAGGGUAGCAGAAUUCCCGGUGUAGAGGUGAAAUUCGUAGAUAUCGGGAGGAAUACCAGCGGCGAAGGCGGCUACCUGGCCCAUUACUGACGUUCAGGCACGAAAGCGUGGGGAGCAAACAGG
rnacentral:rRNA from 1 species